CCUACGGGAGGCUGCAGUCGAGAAUCAUUCACAAUGGGGGAAACCCUGAUGGUGCGACGCCGCGUGGGGGAAUGAAGGUCUUCGGAUUGUAAACCCCUGUCAUGUGGGAGCAAAUUAAAAAGAUAGUACCACAAGAGGAAGAGACGGCUAACUCUGUGACAGCAGCCGCGGUAAUACAGAGGUCUCAAGGGUUGUUCGGAAUCACUGGGCGUAAGGCGUGCGUAGGCUGUUUCGUAAGUCGUGUGUGAAAGGCGCGGGCUCAACCCGCGGACGGCACAUGAUACUGCGAGACUAGAGUAAUGGAGGGGGAACCGGAAUUCUCGGUGUAGCAGUGAAAUGCGUAGAUAUCGAGAGGAACACUCGUGGCGAAGGCGGGUUCCUGGACAUUAACUGACGCUGAGGCACGAAGGCCAGGGGAGCGAAAGGGAUUAGAUACCCCUGUAGUC
rnacentral:rRNA from 1 species